GGGCGGCUAGCUCAGUUGGUUAGAGUGACGGUAUGACACGCCGUAGGUGAGAAGUUCGAUUCUUCUGCCGCCCA
rnacentral:tRNA from 1 species